rnacentral:rRNA from 1 species
UACGUAGGGUGCAAGCGUUAAUCGGAAUUACUGGGCGUAAAGCGUGCGCAGGCGGCUGGGUAAGAUAGAUGUGAAAUCCCCGGGCUCAACCUGGGAACUGCAUUUGUGACUGCACGGCUGGAGUGCGGCAGAGGGGGAUGGAAUUCCGCGUGUAGCAGUGAAAUGCGUAGAUAUGCGGAGGAACACCGAUGGCGAAGGCAAUCCCCUGGGCCGGCACUGACGCUCAUGCACGAAAGCGUGGGGAGCAAACAGG